AAUCAACAUACUUAACUCACAUCUUCUCAGGAUAAUGCGGGGGACGAUAGAGAUACAUCAUACACGGACACGGACAUGCACGCAGAGGUAGAGACGAGAGAGGUGCGUGCGACAGAUGCACGUUGGUAUAUAUGGGCGCGCGCCGAUGGAUGACCAAUGCAACGCAAUGAAUGAGUGAGGCCGAUACAUGUAGCCGUCUCGCCCACACGUCCUGCCUACUCGUAGUACACAACGGAGGCCGGAGCUUCUGGGGGGCCAGCAGCUGGUUGUGCACGAGCACCCAGCACUCGCCAUGGUCCGGCGUGAUCAGAUCUGAUCCCAGCUAAUGCUCCAUCCAUCUGACCAGAAAAAGGUUUGCAUCGUCGACCUAAUAAGCUAGCGACAUUGUUUUAGCACAAAAGCCUUUGUUGUGGGCUUUUUGUGGCCAAGGGGCACAGGCCACAGGGGCAAAGCAAGAAGACAUGGUGUCGGUGUUCGUUCCCGUCCUGACCUCUCUGAUCUCUCGCUUCCAAGCAACAACAGCUAGCAGUCGCAUCCAGCCUGGUUGCAUUAGUUGCCGGUUCGUCGCUCGUCGACCUUGCGUUGCGUCUCUCCCGUGCCUUUGCUUGCUUGUACCUUUUCUAAUCCUGGUUUAUACGCCACCGUUUGCACACAUGGGGAAUAUUCUGGCUUUCGCUCCUCCAAAUGCCAAUCAUCACACGCCAAUCCAGCACGCGGUAUUCUUUCGGUAUACGGAACAGCGAGCUACGGCAGAUGCAUGGGUCGUGCGUGCUUCAAGGGAUCUACUACGUACUACCACUACCACCACCGGCCUGGAUUGCUGGCGGUAGAUAUAUAUGUUUUUGCCCAUUCCCCUUUAGGGUCAGAGGUCAAUGGUUUCAACCUUUGAAAUCUUUGCAAGUAACCACAAAUUAAAUGUAUAUUAUAUAUAUCCUUGUACUGCUAUUAGGGUUUAUUUUAUAUAUUGUCCG
rnacentral:lncRNA from 1 species